ensembl:Y_RNA Y_RNA Y RNA
GGCUUGUCCAAGGGUAGAGAGUUUUCCCAAUUGAUUGUUCACAGUCAGUUAAAGAUAAGACUCCUUGUUCUACUCUUUCUCCUUUCCCACUACUGCACUUGACUAGUCUUUU